rnacentral:rRNA from 1 species
CCUACGGGAGGCAGCAGUGAGGAAUAUUGGUCAAUGGGCGCGAGCCUGAACCAGCCAAGUAGCGUGAAGGAUGACUGCCCUACGGGUUGUAAACUUCUUUUGUCAAGGAAUAAAGUGAGGCACGUGUGCCUUUAUGAAUGUACUUUAUGAAUAAGGAUCGGCUAACUCCGUGCCAGCAGCCGCGGUAAUACGGAGGAUUCGAGCGUUAUCCGGAUUUAUUGGGUUUAAAGGGAGCGUAGGUGGGUUGUUAAGUCAGGUGUGAAAGUCCGGGGCGCAACCUUAAACUUGCAAUUGAUACUGGCAGUCUUGAGUACAGUAGAGGUAGGCGGAAUUCGCGGUGUAGCGGUGAAAUGCAUAGAUAUCGCGAAGAACUCCGAUUGCGAAGGCAGCAUAC